rnacentral:rRNA from 1 species
GAUGAACGCUGGCGGCGUGCCUUAUACAUGCAAGUCGAGUGGGUUUAGACCCACGGCAAACGGGUGAGUAACACGUAGGUCCUUUCCUUGUCACAGGAAUAACCCUCCGAAAGGAGGGCUAAUACCUGAUGUGAUCGCAAGAUUAAAGGGUAUCCGCAAGGAUCACCGGACAAGAAGAGGCCUGCGGCCUAUCAGCUAGUUGGCGGGGUAAAUGCCCACCAAGGCUAUGACGGGUAGAUGGUCUUAUGAGGAUGAUCAGUCACAUGGGCACUGAGACACGGGCCCAACUCCUACGGGAGGCAGCAGUAGGGAAUUUUGCGCAAUGGGCGAAAGUCUGACGCAGCGACGCCGCGUGCGGGAUGAAGGCCUUCGGGUCGUAAACCGCUUUUAUAAGGGACGAACUUUGACGGUACCUAAUGAAUAAGAGGUUGCUAACUCUGUG